GACAGAGGGUGCAAACGUUGUUCGGAUUUACUGGGCGUAAAGCGCGUGUAGGCGGCUUGGCAAGUCGGAUGUGAAAGCCCACGGCUCAACCGUGGAAGCGCAUCCGAAACGGCCUCGCUCGAGUCUCGGAGAGGAAGGUGGAAUGCUUGGUGUAGAGGUGAAAUUCGUAGAUAUCAAGCAGAACACCUGCGGCGAAGGCGGCCUUCUGGACGAUGACUGACGCUGAGGAGCGAAAGCGUGGGGAGCGAACAGG
rnacentral:rRNA from 1 species